UACGGAGGGUGCAAGCGUUAUCCGGAUUUACUGGGUUUAAAGGGUGCGUAGGCGGUUCGUUAAGUCUGUUGUGAAAUCCCCGGGCUCAACCUGGGAAUGGCAAUGGAUACUGGCGGGCUAGAGUGUGUCAGAGGAUGGUGGAAUUCCCGGUGUAGCGGUGAAAUGCGUAGAGAUCGGGAGGAACAUCAGUGGCGAAGGCGGCCAUCUGGGACAACACUGACGCUGAAGCACGAAAGCGUGGGGAGCAAACAGG
rnacentral:rRNA from 1 species